rnacentral:rRNA from 1 species
CCUACGGGAGGCAGCAGUAAGGAAUAUUGGACGAUGGGCGAAAGCCUGAUCCAGCCAUGCCGCGUGUGUGAAGAAGGCCUUUUGGUUGUAAAGCACUUUAAGCGAGGAGGAGGCUACUUAGAUUAAUACUCUAGGAUAGUGGACGUUACUCGCAGAAUAAGCACCGGCUAACUCUGU